UGGUCAGCCACUGUGAGAACAGGAUGCUGGAUUAGAUGGGCUUUUGGCCAGAUCCAGCAGGGCUCCUCUAAAGUUCUUAAAAGUCACUGAAUCCCUACUUGGAUAUUCUUAUCCACACUAUUUUCAUUGGAGGAAGAGGCAGAAUGAUUCCAGCUGCUUACAACAUCACCAGUCUCACAAUUUAUGCAGACAUUUCCUCAGUCUUCAAGCUGCAGAAGUAAAAUCAAACUUCUCAAAAAUCAGUAAUUUUUAAUAUGUGCAAUCUAGUUCCUAGGACGCAAAGCAUUUAAACAAAAUGACUUCCUCCUCAGUUUGCCCUUCAAGCGUGAAGUAAUUAUAUAUCUCUUCCAAUUACCUAUAUAAACCUCCUUUAGAGACAGUGGAUCUUGUAGAGUGAAAUAUCUUAUUAUUGCUGUGCUUAGGCAAUUUCAUAUUAGCAAAGCGUUUGAAAUGCAAUUCACAUUUGUUCUUUUCUUCUUAGCCCAGAGCUCAUAAGGAGGAGGAACACUAUCAAGAUGCCCAAGUUAGGAUCACAGAUGUGAGGCUGCAGAUAUAAUUCCUUCAAACAGAGCAAACUCAGAUGCUGGUUCCUGGCAGAAAUAGAACAAGAGACAGGUUAAGUCAGCUACGAAAAAGCAUAUCCAGCUGUGUUUUCCUUUCUGUCAUAAGUAUAGCUGCCUCCAUCCAAUGCUUAAUUAUACUUGCUAAAACCUUCCAUUGACCCAAACAGUUACAUCGCUUGAGUCAUGCACAAAAGUGUCUUCGUAUUCAGAAAGGGAAAAAGUCAUUGGAAUGGAGGGCACUCUUCUGCAAACUGUGAUGGCAGUUUCUGGUGCCAGAUGGAAUGGAUAAUUAACAGGCACCUGAGAUGUCCUUAUCGGUGCCAGUCUUUACCUGCAAGGCUAAUACUUUUGAAGUCAAUGACAAAAGCACCAGCCGUAAGUGAGCUAACAGCCAUUAUGUCAAUGGGUCUCUCAUGCAUGUACAUUUAUAUUAAGGUCUAAAUGUGCGCUAGGGCGAGCUGGCAAUCAGAGACAGCAGGUUGACUUGACGUGCAGAGGGUAGGAGCCCAAAAUAACAGACUAUUGUGAUUGAAGUAAUAAGCAGAAGAGCAGGCCGCCAGCUGUCUAGCUGAGUCAUUUCAUUCCCAUGCUUACCCUCAAUAGCAAGGCUUUUUCACAAUGUUCGUUGGAAGGAUGAUUACUCUGA